rnacentral:lncRNA from 1 species
UCUGCCUCCCAAGUUCAAGCGAUUCUCUUGCCUCAGCCUCCCAAAUAACUGGGAUUACAGGUAUGCACCACCAUCCCUGGCUAAUUUUAUAUUUUUAGUAGAGACAGGUUUUCACCAUGUUGGUCAGGCUGGUUUGGAACUCCUCACCUCAUGUGAUCAACCGCCUCCGCCUCCAAAAGUGCUGGGAUUACAGACUUGAAUCACCGCACCUAGCCAGCCACCACAUCCAGCUGACAAUCUUUUAUCUUAACUUGAACGUUACCUUUCUAUGAAUCCCAGUCUUUACAGAAACUCAACCAAAUGUUUUGUUUUGUUUUGUUUUGUUUGAGAUGGAGUCUUACUCUGUCGCCCAGGCCGGAGUGCAGUAGUACGAUCUCGGCUCACUGCAACCUCUGCCUCCCGGGUUCAAGCAAUUCUCCUGCCUCAGCCUCCUGAAUAGCUGAAAUUACAGGAGCAUGCCACCAUGCCUGGCUAAUUUUUGUAUAUUUUUUAGUAGAGAUGGGGUUUCACCAUGUUGACCUGGCUGGUCUCAAACGCCUGUCCUUGUGAUCCUCCUGCUUCGGCCUCCGAAAGUGUUGGGAUUACAAGCGUGAGCCACUAUGCCGGCCACUCAACCAAUUGUUAACCACAAAAUGUUUAAAUUCACCAAUAGCCUGAAACCAACCCACCGUGCUUUGAGUUGCCCCACCUUUCUGGACCAAACCAGUGUAUUUCUUAAAUGUAUUUCAAUGAUGUUUCAUGCCUCUCUAAAACGUACAAAACCAAGCUGUGCCCCAACCACCUCUGGCACAUGUUCUCAGGACCUCCUAAGGACUAUGUCACAGACCAGCUCACUCGUAUUUGGCUGAGAAUAAAUCUCUUCAAGUAUUUUACAGAGUUUGACUCUUUUCAUCAACACUAAUAUCGCUAUGUCAUUAAUUUCUAAAUAUAUUGUAAUUUCAAAUUCACCAUGUGCAUUCUGAAAUAAGAGAAUUAAAUUUCAUUUUAAAAUUGUAACGUAUUUUAGAUAUUUUCUGUUUCUCAAUGUUCUGUCACGUGUGGAUAACAAAGCCAAUAAAAUACUCUUCAGAAGUCGUUUAGAUUUAUUUUCCCUUAGAGAAAAAAUAAUUUUGCAAUAUUUUUAAGGAUAAAUGGCAGGCAGGUUACUUUCCUUUAUAUGAACUCUCAAGAAAGGACAACUCGGCCAGGCACAGUGGCUCACGCCUGUAAUCCCAGCACUUUGGGAGGCAGAGGCAGGCGGAUCACGAGGUCAAGAGAUCGAGACCAUCCUGGCCAACAUGGUGAAACCCUGUUUCCACUAAAAAUUAGCUGGACAUGGUGGUGCGCACUCUAGUCCCAGCUACUCAGGAGCUGAGGUAGGAGAAUCACUUGAACCCGGGAGGCAGAGGUUGCAGUGAGCUGAAAUUGCACCACUGCAUUCUGGCUUGGAGACAGAGCAAAGAAAAAAGAAAAAAAGAAAGGACAACUCAAUUAUUAAAUUUUUAUAAGUAGCCUCAUUUCUUAAGGCAAUAAUUCCAUGGCAAUCUCCAAGUUACCAUGUAAUAUGGAAGUAUGUUUUUCUGUCACAUUAUAAUUCUGUAUUAUGCAAUAUUGCUCAGUAGCCAAAAAAGAACACUGCGCCUGGACUUCCAUGCUUCCAUGCAAAAAAAAAAAAAAAAAAAAAAA